rnacentral:misc_RNA from 1 species
UGAACAGCCAUAUGUCGAAUAAGAUUCCCUUUAUGCCUGAAAAACAAAAUACAUAAGCAUACAACUAUAUGCUCCUCCAUAUCUUCACUUGAUAAGUGUAUCACAAAUAUUACAUACCUAAACGGUCGUUCACAUUCAGGGCAUUGAUGUGUCUUUUCUUGUGGCGGAGGGGGGACAUAAGUAGGAUUAUGAUAUAAAUUAUAAUGCCGUUUGAGAAGUUGUUUUUGUCUGAAUGAUUGAAAGCAAUGAUCACAUUGAUAUGGUUUUUGAUCAGUAUGAAUUAACAUGUGGCUCUCGAGAUGGCGCUCGGAUAUAGAAGCAUAUGGACACAAAUCACAUUUAUAACAUUUUUCCCCUUCCUAUUAUACAGCCCAGUUUUUGCCACAUACCUGUCAGGGAAUGAUUUUCCACAGCGUUUACAUUUCAAAGGUUUAUCAGAGGUGUGUAAUUUUUGUACAUGAAUUCUGAGAUCUGUUUUCCUUCCACACGUCGUUGGACAUAAUUCACAUUGAAACACUGGCUUGUCACCAACUAUAACACAUAUUAUUAUAACUAUAAAUAAAAGAAAAUUACAUAACAAAUGUAACAACCUUUAAUAUAUAAAGCAUCAACAUACCGUUAUGUAUCAGUUUAUGAGCUUUUAAACUAUUAGACUGAGUAAACCUUGCCUGACAAAAAUCACACUCGUAUGGUUUUUCUCCUGUAUGUAUGCGCAAAUGGCGUUUUAGCUUGAAAGUAUCAGGACUUGCAUAUGUACAAUGCGGACACUGUAAUGUAAUAAUAAUUUUAUGGUCGUAAUUAACACUUUUUAAAGUAUAAGUAUACAAUAUACCUGAUAUGGACGUUCGCCUGUAUGACAUCGAAUAUGACGUUUGAGUUUAGACAAUUCAACAGAUGCAUAGUCACAUUCAUGACAUUUAUGUGGCUUUUCAUGGGUGUGUCUAUAUCGAACAUGUCU